ACCUGCGGAAGGAUCAUUA
rnacentral:ncRNA from 394 species